rnacentral:rRNA from 1 species
GGUUGAUCCUGCCAGUAGUCAUAUGCUUGUCUCAAAGAUUAAGCCAUGCAUGUCUAAGUAUAAGCAAUCUAUACAGUGAAACUGCGAAUGGCUCAUUAAAUCAGUUAUCGUUUAUUUGAUAGUACAUUACUACUUGGAUAACCGUGGUAAUUCUAGAGCUAAUACAUGCUAAAAAUCCUAGUCUUUGGCUAGGAUGUAUUUAUUAGAUAAAAAACCAAUGUCUUCGGACUCUUUGGUGAUUCAUAAUAACUUUUCGAAUCGCAUAGCCUUGUGCUGGCGAUGGUUCAUUCAAA